rnacentral:tRNA from 1 species
AAAGGGAGACCUAAUUCCAGUAGGAGACGAAAAAAAAGUAGUCCCUACCAAGAAUCAAUCCCAAAAGGUCGGAGCGAGGCAAAAUUGGCUUUCAAACUAGGUUCUGGGUUCACACAAGACCUGAAUCAGGAACAAGGGCUAUUAGCUCAGGUGGUUAGAGCGCACCCCUGAUAAGGGUGAGGUCCCUGGUUCGAGUCCAGGAUGGCCCACCUGCACAGGUGGAAGAAAGAAAAGAAGCUCCGAAUCAGCACCUUAUCUUACUUAUAUAGUAAGAGAGAAUGCUGGCUCUGAGUACAGAGUCCAGAGGGACCUUGAAAACUGCAUAGAGCUAGGUGAAAAAGCCAAAAAAGAAGACCGCAAG